GCUGGCGGCGUGCUUAACACAUGCAAGUCGAACGAACCUUCGGGUUAGUGGCGGACGGGUGAGUAACGCGUGGGAAUCUGCCCUCAGGAGGGGGAUAACGGUUGGAAACGACCGCUAAUACCCCAUAUGCCGAGAGGUGAAAUGAAUUUCGCCUGAGGAUGAGCCCGCGUCUGAUUAGCUUGUUGGUGAGGUAAUGGCUCACCAAGGCAUCGAUCAGUAGCUGGUCUGAGAGGAUGAUCAGCCACACUGGGACUGAGACACGGCCCAGACUCCUACGGGAGGCAGCAGUGGGGAAUUUUCCGCAAUGGGCGAAAGCCUGACGGAGCAACGCCGCGUGAGGGACGAAGGCCUCUGGGCUGUAAACCUCUUUUCUCAAGGAAGAAGAUAUGACGGUACUUGAGGAAUAAGCCACGGCUAAUUCCGUGCCAGCAGCCGCGGUAAUACGGGAGUGGCAAGCGUUAUCCGGAAUUAUUGGGCGUAAAGCGUCCGCAGGCGGCCUCUCAAGUCUGCUGUUAAAGCGUGGAGCUUAACUCCAUCAUGGCAGUGGAAACUGAUUGGCUUGAGUAUGGUAGGGGCAGAGGGAAUUCCCGGUGUAGCGGUGAAAUGCGUAGAUAUCGGGAAGAACACCAGUGGCGAAGGCGCUCUGCUGGGCCAUUACUGACGCUCAUGGACGAAAGCCAGGGGAGCGAAAGGGAUUAGAUACCCCUGUAGUCCUGGCCGUAAACGAUGAACACUAGGUGUCGGGGGAAUCGACCCCUUCGGUGUCGUAGCUAACGCGUUAAGUGUUCCGCCUGGGGAGUACGCACGCAA
rnacentral:rRNA from 1 species